rnacentral:rRNA from 1 species
GAUGAACGCUGGCGGCGUGCCUAAUACAUGCAAGUCGAGCGAAUGGAUUAAGAGCUUGCUCUUAUGAAGUUAGCGGCGGACGGGUGAGUAACACGUGGGUAACCUGCCCAUAAGACUGGGAUAACUCCGGGAAAGCGGGGCUAAUACCGGAUAACAUUUUGAACCGCAUGGUUCGAAAUUGAAUGGCGGAGUCGGCUGUUACUUAUGGAUGGACCCGCGUCGCAUUAGCUAGUUGGUGAGGUAACGGCUCACCAAGGCAACGAUGCGUAGCCGACCUGAGAGGGUGAUCGGCCACACUGGGACUGAGACACGGCCCAGACUCCUACGGGAGGCAGCAGUAGGGAAUCUUCCGCAAUGGACGAAAGUCUGACGGAGCAACGCCGCGUGAGUGAUGAAGGCUUUCGGGUCGUAAAACUCUGUUGUUAGGGAAGAACAAGUGCUAGUUGAAUAAGCUGGCACCUUGACGGUACCUAACCAGAAAGCCACGGCUAACUACGUGCCAGCAGCCGCCGUAA